GAGACCUAAAAGAUAAGUCAGAGUGACUUGGGCAAAGGGAGCAAGAAAAGAGGGUCCUGGUUCCAGGAAAUCCACCUGCAAAGACCAAGAUGCAAAGAGCUUGCAUAUGUUGUUUCCUAAUAUGUGUCAGGCCCCAUGUGAGCUACUGGGGUGCAGAGCUAAAGAAGACACAGUUCAGCCCUCACAGAGCCUGCCAUCUGCAUGGAGGAGACCACCAAGGACCUGAACCAACCCCAGGAAUGGUUUUUGGCACCUCCUCCAAGCAGCUCCCACUGCUGAUCUCACCGCCCAGUUACUCUGAGACCAUCCAGAAUUCCUAUGUCCAGACAUACAAGCACUCUUCAUCUGGCACAUUUUCAAACACCUUUUGUUAACAGACUCCAGAAUUAAUACUACGGUUUGCUGUGACAUUCAAAUGUGGGAAUCUGUAAAAAUGCUUAAUCCGCCACGCCUGGGCCUGUGCUAAUGCUCAAUGGACAUUAGUCCCUGUCCUUCCCCUGGCAGUGACCUGUCUAUGAUGACACAUCAGAAUCAGCCAGUAACAGUUUUCAGGUCACACUUGGAAGAGCAAUGCCCUCCCACCCUGACGAGAAGGUUCUGCAUGUGAUCAGUGCUUGAGACACUUGAUGGAAUCCUUUGGAAACUUUCUGCCAGUUCUCCUCCAGAUGUCUGAGCAGAUGCACAGAGGUGUGUCUUUGUGGAGGAGCCCUCAGAGUGAGGAGGCCCCCUCUGUGGUGCUGCGUGCAGGAAGAUUUGGGUGUGGACACCAGUUCUGCUGUCUAAGUAGCUUCAUGACCCUAGGCAUGUGACCUGAAAGUGACCUUGACCUGAAGUAGAUCAAGAUUCUUGAACUCUUUUGUGUCAUGGAUCUACCUGAGAGUCUGGGAAGACCUAUGGAUCUCUUCUCAGAAUGUUUUAAUGUUUUAAAUGCAGAAAAUGAAAACCACAGGAUUUCAAAGGAAAUUAAUUUUUCUCAAAUACAAUUAUUAAAAUAUGUGGUGUAAAAAAUGUUUCUUUAUUAACAUGAAAAUAAUGAUAUUUACUGGUGGGCAAAGUACCUACUAUAAUGUGACGUAUUGAUGAGUGUGAAACUAUAUUUCAAGUA